rnacentral:rRNA from 1 species
UACGUAGGUGGCAAGCGUUGUCCGGAAUCACUGGGCGUAAAGGGCGCGUAGGUGGCUCGGCAAGCGUGCGGUGAAAGUUCGGGGCUCAACCCCGAAUCGGCCGUGCGAACUGCCAAGCUUGAGCACUGUAGAGGCAGAUGGAAUUCCGGGUGUAGCGGUGGAAUGCGUAGAGAUCCGGAAGAACACCGGUGGCGAAGGCGGUCUGCUGGGCAGUUGCUGACACUGAGGCGCGACAGCGUGGGGAGCAAACAGG